ACCUGGGUGGCUCAGUCAGUUAAGCGUCCGACUUUGGCUCAGGUCAUGAUCUUGAGGUUGUGGGUUUGAGCCCCACCUCGGGCU
rnacentral:tRNA from 1 species